rnacentral:rRNA from 1 species
UACGGAGGGUGCGAGCGUUGUUCGGAAUUACUGGGCGUAAAGGGCGCGUAGGCGGUCUUGCAAGUCCUGUGUGAAAUCCCUCGGCUCAACUGAGGAACUGCACAGGAAACUGCUUGGCUUGAGUUCGGGAGAGGGAAGCGGAAUUCCGGGUGUAGCGGUGAAAUGCGUAGAUAUCCGGAGGAACACCGGUGGCGAAGGCGGCUUCCUGGACCGACACUGACGCUGAGGCGCGAAAGCGUGGGGAGCGAUCCGG